AUUCUCCCAAAAUCCACUUAGCAUUUCUGAAGACUUCCAGUAGAAAAGAGCCUGAAGCAUUUUACAUCAGCGUCACACAAGCAGGGAACAAGAAGGAAAUUUUUAGCUUGAUUUUCUGUUAAGGUGCACCUUCAGGCUUUCCUGUCCCCGUUGUAAACAAACAGCUCUUCAUCAUCUCAGCUAAAGGUGUAAGCAAGCAUUCCAUCCAAAGAUUGUUCCAGACAGGCAGGCUAUGCAGAGACUUAAAAUAGAUUGUUACCGUGUUACUUAAUUAAAUUCAGACUGACCAGUUUAGAAUAUACCAAGUCCAACAGGGCAAAUGAACAGUGUCACAAGGCAUUUCUAGGGAGAGGAGGCACAAAUUAUUUAAUACUCACUCUUUGGCACAGAGGACAGAGUCAGCUCUUUCUUGUAUUUUUCCAUUACAGUAGCUAUUUUUAAUCUUGUGGCUUAACUAAUAUAACAGCUCCCUCCUCAAAUUACUCCUGCCACCCCAAUAACAACAAACACUUUUGAGAAGAACUUAUGCACUUUAAGAAACAGUGUGAGAAAAGCGGAUAGGAAAAUCCUGCAUAAAAGCAGAAGGAGAGCAUCCCACGUACAAUCCUAUCCACAGCUGCCUGAGCCAAGAAGUCCAUUUUCGUUGGCCACAGCACAAAGACUGAAAACUAAUAAAAACUGGUUAAAAAAAAAAAAAAAACCUGCAGCUAGAAUACAAAAAAAUUCUGCUCAAAUAUGAGCAAAAAUUAUCUUCCUUUUUAUAGUUAAUGUUUCUUGCUGACCAAAUGCUGUGCAUCAGACCGGAAGGGAAUGUCACUUUUGAGCAGCUCUACAAGUGCAGAGAUUGCUUCAGCAAGCAGUGCUCAGCUGAUGUUAUGCAUAUAGGUAAGCCAGUAUAAACCUUUGCAGGUUGUUACUGUGCUCUGUAUUGUCAAUGAAAGGAAAUUCAGCCACGACCUCCAGCCAUCAGCCAGCACAACAUAGGAGAAACCUUCAAUAACACGGAAUAGAGCAGACCACUGAGGAUGUGUAUACAUCAACAGAUGUGGCCUAUAAGCAGGAGCUGCAAUUAGCCAUCUUGGCUUACCACUGUCAACAUCCAUUUUGAGACACUGCAUUCCUACACCUCCUGCAUGCUAUUAAUUAGACACAUCCAAAAGCCUCUAAAACAGAAACUGAGCACUAAGCACUGCAGCUAGAAAAAUAAACAAUAAUGGACUAAGGAUUUUCUAAGUUCCAAAUCGUAUCACUUUCAUUUACCAUAUUCUUUCAUGUCUUACUUCUACAGCAUGUAUGACUAGAUCAUGAGACAGUGUGGAUAAGUAACUAGCACACUGAAGACAAAAGCAUAAGCGUUUCCAAAAUAAUUCAUUUUAAUUCUACCCACAAGUGAAUAGUAUACAUCCUUGUUCUCCAGUGACUACAAAGGAAGUUCAUCCACUUGUGGUUUUAUCUUGUAUCUGCCACAGUUAAUCCUAAUAUUUCAAUAUAAAAGCUGAUAUCCGUUUUGAACUUAAGAUUUCAAGGUACUUUCCAAACAUGAUCUACUUAAAGAAAGAUGUGUGAAAUGUUCUUUCCUUCUUGCUUUGUUCUGAACAUUGUUUCAUUCAUCCUAUCCACCUGAGAAUUAAUAAGAACAAAAUUUUAAUACUUGUCUUAUUAGGAGAACAAAUAAUUCUUCAGAACAACUAUCAGACCCAGUAACAACUUGAGGUUAUCUCAUGGAAGAAACUCAAGAAAAAUGAGGGAAAUUCAGUAAGAUGCUAUGUGCACUCUGCUUGGAAGUUAUUGAAUCCUGCUAGACUGACCAUGCUUUGCAACAUUAAGCUUUGCUAAGGACUAUAAGGAUAUGCUCUAAGCUCAAAUCCCUAAGUCUCAGAAAGUACUGUGAUAGAAUUUUGACUGCUCAUAUUCCAUGCAUUUAACAAGCAAAAUCAUACCAGCUAGCAAAGAACACUGGACCAGAAGGAAACAACCAUACUGACCUGUCAUGCAUGUGCCAGUAAAACUGGUAAGAAAAGGAGACAAGAACUCAGUCUUUCUGCCAUAUGGUUUCAUGUAAUUGGGCAGCAAGCAUAAAUAAGUUGUAUUUUCUUGAAGAACCUCAUUACACUACUUGAAGUGAAGACCUGACAGUGUUUUUCACAAGGCUGAUUUCACUUUUCACAAUACCUAACAACAAUAACCUGACACACACAUGGUUUAAAACCUCUACAUGAUCGUAAGCAUGGGCUGCUGUCUGAAUUCUUGCAAUGUGAUUUAAAAUUUCAGCAAAAUCUCCAGCAAUGUGCAAAUAUACAAACUCAAGAAAAAUAGCAAGGCAUGACCAUGAACAGCAGCUAACAUACAGGUUACAUCUAGAAACGUUUCUAUCUAAAAGGAAAUGUACAAAUACGGCCCUCUACUUCAGGAAGCACCCUUCUGAAUGACUCCAUUCCUGCUUCAGCAGUAAUACAAACCACUGACAAUCCAGCAGCAUCACACAGCCCCUGCUAAAUGUGGGGAAGAAAUAAAGUUGGUACUAUGCUUCAACCAGAAUAUUUCUAUUUCUGAAUUAUGAGGAAGAAAUUUCCAAAGUACUGAAGAGGAAAGAGAGACGAAUACAGCUUCCAACUUUCUUCACAGUCUUCUCUUUGGUACAACGUGCAGUAGACUCCUCUGCAUAGCCUCAUUAUUCCAUGUGGAGCAAUGAGACAUACUCCUGGGAUUAUGCAAGGAUGUCACUAUUAAGCCCAAGUAUCACACGUACUUUUUCCUUUGGAAAGUUUACAGGAGUGUUGGAGUUAUGAAUAAUUUGCAUGAAGCUGAAUAAUUAAAAACAAUACUCGACAUUACCAUAAAGACUGUAAAGCCACACACACUCACUCUUGCAAGCAGAAUGGAGUACUGCAGAAUCUGUAAACCCACGCUCUAGCAUUUCUGCAAAUCAUGAGACAACUUUAAUACCAUGGAGCACAAAAGCAAGAGUAAACAGAAAUUUAUUCACCUAGGCAAGAAAUUAGGUGCCGGGGCUCUUUGAUUUUUGAGGAAGAUGCUACACUAGUUACAGACACUCUUCCUCAACAGACUCAAACUGAGAAGAAUGCAGAAAAAUAGCACAGGAUUUUUCACACCAUAGUUUUUUGAUACUGUAAAGCUCUCACCUUGGGGUCCAAUAAAAAAAAAUGUGGAGUACACAGGACGUAUGACACUUUGAUGUUUGAGUAUGCUCAGUGACCAAGGAACAUGAAGAGACAGCUCUGAAGAGAUCUGAACAUCAUCUGAUGGACAGAAGGAGAAAGAGAAAUGGGGACAGAAAGAAUAAGAGUGAUAGCAGGGAAAUAGAGUGAGCAGAAACAGAGCUAUCAGAGGAGAUAACAAAGACCAGAGAGGAGGAAAGGAGGCAAAGGGGAGGAAAAGAGAAUCUGCAUGGAAAGAACUGCAUGUAUAAGGGAGGGGGGUUGUGGAAGUGAGAGAGAGGUGAAGAAGCUUGUGCACUGGCAGGAGGGAGAGAGGCAGUGUGGAGAGAUGGUGAGAGAGAGAGGAGAGGACACAGGGGAAAUUGUAGGUGGAGACAGGAGAGCAGAGAAAGGAAAGAGAAGCAAAAAGCACACAAUGGGCACAGAAGCAUGGAGAGGGACAAAGAGAAGAGCAUGAAUGAGGGAUGGGUUGGGAGAGUCAGCAAGAAGGGAGAGAAAUGAUUGGGAGGGAGGGAAGAGACAAAGGUGGAGAGCAGAAGCAAGUGAGGGAAAGGCAAGCAAGGAGCAAAGAAGGAAAGGGUAAGGAAGGCAUUAGGAAAGAAGUGCAGGGAAGGAGAAAAGAGACAGAAGGCAAACAAGAGGAUGUGAGGACAUAGGAAAGUACAAGGAAAGGGAGAAAAGAUGCAGAAAGAGUGAAUGAGCAAGGUAAAAAUAGAGGAGAAUAAGCAAGAAAAGGGGUUUGGAAAGGAGUACAGACAUCACUGAGGCAAAGACAGAAAUAGGAACAGACAAAAAGAAAGCAGUGUGUGGCUAAAAGGGGGAAAGAGCAAAUAGUGUCAGGCACAUGGAAAUAAAAGCAAAGGUAAGACAGCAAGCAAACAAGAAAGGAGACGGAGGUGGGAAUAGCAUGCACAGACAUGAGUGGCAGAAAGUGAGGUAAGGGAAGAAGGCAGAAGCAAAAAGGCAGAGUGAAAAGACUGAGCAAGAGGUAAAGAGACACAGCAGGACAAAUUCAACAUGACAGAGGAAAAGAGGAAAAAGAGGGGAGACAGAUUAAGAGCAUGAACGGUGGAGACAGAGGGGAGCAGGAGAGUGAAAAGAAGACAGUGAGCAGGGGGCAGA
rnacentral:lncRNA from 1 species